rnacentral:lncRNA from 1 species
CAGUAAUGGGCCGAUGUUGCACCCGAAACAAAAUCCACUGCCCUGAGCUUGUGUUUGUGUCUUCUCCUUCUCGCUGCACUGCUUCCCCAAUCUUCUUCCUGGUGAUCAAGGUAUCAAAAUCGAAACAGGUACUUUCGCAGAAGUAUAAUCUUUUCACGUACCUAUAAUCGUUUUGUUUUCACAGUUCCUUCAAUUGCAUUUUCAUUUACAAAAGACUUGUUAACUUAUGCUUCAUAUGCAAAAAUGAAUUGGGUGGUGGCUACGACCCUAUCAUUGUUGUUUUUAACUUUUCAUUAUAUGGUUUGGAAAUAGCAGGUGUGUUGUGAAAGAUGACUUGCAUUGUUAGGGCUGCAUUGAGAUCCAAUUGCAGUUCAAGUGUUUGUGCAUUUGUUCAGAGAAGUUUUGGCCUCCCUGUGAGGUGUUUCUCCACUGAAGCAGAACAGCCACCUCUGAAUUCAACUACCCCUCUUCCAUUCUUGGACGUUGAUCAUUCUGGUACCACCCUAUUUAUGCAUUUAUCCUCCCAUUUCUAUCGCUCUUAGACUUGCUUUAGCUUUUACGAAAAAACUGUUCUACCGCAGCUCGAGGUUAUAAAUUCCUUGACAUUACAGGAAAAUGCGGACAAAAGUGGCUGAUGCAGCCACAAAAAUGUCAGAGACUCCAAAAACCUUGACAUUGUGGCCAAAAUUGUGGUCACAGUUGUCGACUAAUAUCUAAAACCUUGUUGCUGCUGUUACUUUUAGGACUCGCUCGGUGGCUAGCAUAUGAUAUAAUCGGAUAAUUAAACUAUAAAACAAUAGCGGUUCUAAUGAGUUGUUUGGUUUUGGGGAUAAUUAUUUGUACCAUAGCAAGUAUCACUAGCACUACAUGGUCACUACUACCAUUAGUGUCACUAAAUCUUUCAUCAUCAAUGUCACCCUUGUUGUCAUAACAGACAUUACUCUCACCAUUAUUGCUAUCAGUCACUAUCAUCGAUGUUGUUAGGAAUUCAAGGUGACUUCAAGUCCCACAUUGAAUCAAAAUGAGUAAGAUGAUGACUAGUAUAUAAAUAGAAGAACCCAUAAACCUAUUGCCUUAAUGUUUUGUGUCAGAAGUGGUGUCUUUGUCUCAUAUAUGACCUUAUUCACGACUCAUUGGUGAUGAAUCUUCCAACGUCUUCCCUCAGAAAAACCUCACAGUUGUCACCAUCAUUUCUUUAUUAUACUUUCAUCAUUGUUACUAUUGUGAUUAUCACUUGCAUCUUUCUCAUCGUGCUUACCAUUUGCUACCAUCUCAUUAUUGAUGUUGUAUUGUAACUAUUUGUAGGAGUAGAAAGGGUGAUAAUUUACUUUAAAUUAAGAGACUUGUGCAAUAUUUGUAACAAUAAACAAAAGAUUUAAUAUAUUAAGUAUGUUAAUAUAUUAAUUUAGUUCUUUUGUUUUAUAAAAUUAUCAAAUUAGAGAUUGUUUGUUAGAAAGAAAAUUUGUAAGGAAAGAAAAAAGUGGGCUUAUCAUUCAUUUCUAAGUAAUAGUGAUUUAUUCAAAUGAGGAACGCCAUGUUAGAUUAUCUUGUAACCUUCUAAUUAUUGUAUAUAUAGUUCUUUAAAGUUUAUUUGUGUCUUACAUGAGGCCCAUGGUAAGCUUUACAAGGGGGAGAGGAGAUAAGAGUGAGAAAGGAGGAGUGCAUCCCUUUCUCACUAAUUGUUAAUUUCAAAUAGGUUAAUGUAUAUUUUUCAAUUAAUUGGGAUGCUAGGAAAAAUCUUCCUUCUCCAUGUCCUCAUCAUCAUUAUUGUCAUUGUUUUAAGUUUUUGCUCAAUCCUCAUGUCUAUUCAUGUGUUCUAACAUUCAAAAGCCAAAUAGUUUUCAGAUUUGACAAUGUGAAAAUAGUAAAUGCAUGAGAAUAUAGAAAUUUGACAUACAGUAUAUAUCAUUGAUGCUAGUGACUAUAUUUUUGUAUACGUUUGGAUUUUGAAAAUAAGAUGUUAGGUUUCUAACCAAUUCACUGCUAGCCAUGUUAUUUAAAUAAUACCUUUCAACACUUUACAGUUCUUUUAUUUUAAAUAAUUUCCAUCCUAGGUAAUGACUGUUUUCCUUUCUCUUUCUUUCUUUAGGAGUGACAUAUGGUAGGCUGCUUGGUAUCCGUAAACAUGCACUGAAAACAGAUAUCAUCAACUUCCUUGAAGGUUGUAAUUUGACUCUGGAGGAUGUUAAAUUUGAUUACAACCGUAGCCUUAUACCAGUUUCAACGUAAUGUAUUCCAUCUUUUGUCUUGCUUUUGGGGUAUUGUGAAAGUUAUUUUUGUCAUAUAAUCAGUGCAUUUUCAUGCCUAUGACAGGGAAUUGCAUUUUCUUUUCUUUUUCUUUUACUCUAAAUGAUGUUUCCGAAAACUAAAGAGAAAGUUCAAUUUAAUUAUAUACUUGUUUGUAACAUGUCGUGCUCUCAGAAUUUGGACUUUCAAGCCCUAAAAUCCUAUAAAACAACCAACUUGUCAGGAGAGGAUUGUCCAAUAUAUAUAUAUAUAUAUAUAUAUAUAUAUAUAUAUAUAUAUAUAUAUAUAUUAUAUAGUUCUAGUUAAGUCAUAUUUUUAGUCACUGAAACUAAACACCAUAAAAAACACCACUUUGAACUGUAAUUAAGGUGCCGUUCAAAAUAUGGAGUGCUAGAUUUUGUCAUACUCGUCUUGUUAUAUGAACCCAUGUAUUUCAUUAAAGACAAGUAGAAAUAAUCCCAAUUGCUGAGGUAAAAUCAGAAUACAGGAAAAGUGAAUGGAUAAAGAGUAGCCUUUUUGAGGGUGUGCCAGCCUUCCUUUACAAUCCUUAUCCAAUUAUUGCCUACCUAUUUCUUCCUUCUUCCCUUUUAUUCUAACCAAUUUACUUAUGUUUUUCUUCCUCAAUUGCUACAAUUAGCAUUUCAUUAUUACCUCGGUUCAUCCUCAUGACUCUCCGUAAUCAUCUAGCAUAGCUAACAUCCUGAAGUGGAUUAUCAUUGUGUUUUCUAAAUGGGCCUCAUCUUAGAUUCAAUACUUGAAAUUAUCAUUUAAAGGUUUUGGGUAUAAUCAGGUUAUUGCAAUUCCCUUCUCGUGAUUCCUAUGACAAUGCUAUAAGGGUGAUUGUAAGGAAGGGUCGCCUCUACAAAUUGGAUAGGGUAUGCUGCUCUGCUCACAUGUCUUUUUUCUAAAAUCAUUUUCUUUUUUAUAUUUGUUUAUAAUUGGAAACUGUUUGAUAUUUUUUCCUUUUUCUAAUAUCAGGCUGAUCGAUCCCAAUGGGACAUAGUAAAGCCAUAUGAUGGAAAAACUGUCAGUACAGAUUCUUACCUAUCUUUGCUUAUCUUGUUUUUUGAAUACUAAUUAUUUUUUGAUGUUUGUAAUAUAUUUUAACUGUCCAAAUGCUGAAAUUGUUAGAUGUUGUGUUUUGAAAAUUUUGAUUGAGUAAAAUAGAGAGCAUGAUGUAAGACAGUUUUUUCCCAUAACCAUAAGGUUCUCUUAUUGUUCGAUUUUUAAGUUGUGAGUAAAUCACUCCAAAUUGGAGGUAAAUUCUUAAAAGUUUUAAUCUUUUAUGUAAGACUACGUCUUUAUUCUUUGUUAAAUUUAGAACAUUUGUUCAUUUUGUUGACUUCUAUAAUUAAGGAAUGUUAAUUGAGCACAUUUUCAAGAAUUCCUUGAAAUUAAAGUACCAAGGAUAAUGGAAAAGGAUCCGAGAAAUGUAAUUCUGUUGUAUGAGGAAAAACAUGAGAAUAAAAAUUAUUCAUGAAUGUCUAAAAAUCUGAAGCUUGAACCGUCUCAAACAAAAAAUUUCUUCCCUUAAGAUUUUGAAAGUUUAGGGUGUUGUUAUAGUCAUGAUCCCAUCCAGGUUGGCAUCCUAUGUUAUAUCAAUUAUUUGCAGCUUACCAAAAAGGUAUAAAAAAAAAGGAAAGAAAUACAAAAUAGUAGGGGGACUAUACCAAAACCUACUCAAGAACCAAAUCUAUAAUAAGGUUGAGAACAACUAUUUCUUGAUAAAUCAUAUCUAAGAAAAUCCAAAAUGUCAUUAUACCAGUGAUUAUAUCUUUGAAUUGCACCGAAGCAUGCAAGUUUAUCAGCAAUCUGGUUUAGUUUGGAAAUUACAUUGGGCUCUAUGGCCUGAAGCAAUCACUUUGAGCUUGGUUGGGUAAAUUAAUUUUGAUUUUGUUGAUUUUUGGACUGGAAUGGAGUGAGGCAAAUCAUUUAGUGUUUACUGUCAUACUCAUCAUGGGAAGUGUGUUUAUCUUAUGCUCUUUGUUGAUGCUAUUGUUAUUACAUGGAUAGAUAUCACUAGAAUUGCUCAAUUAAAACAACAUUUAUUGUGCAUCUUUAAUACCAAAGAUUUGGACUAACUAAAAUAUUUUUUAUUAUUGAAGUGACACAGUCAAGAGGUGUUAUCGUUUCACAAAGAAAAUAUGCUCUUGGUAUUUUGCAGGAUACAAACUUAGCAAAUUGUAGGCCCAUUGAUAGUCCUAUGGACUCAAACUCUAAUGUUAAUGAGAAACCACUAUGAAAUUUUCUCAAACCUAGAGAGAUAUAGGAUGUUGGUGGAAAAACUCAUUUAUAUCACAAUGAUAAGAGCAGAUCUUUCUUAUCCAUUGUGAGUUAUGAGUCAAUUUAUGCAUAACCCUCACAUAACAUUGAUUACUAGAAUAUUGUGAUUCACAUUCUCAUAUAUGCAUAAGGGAUCCCACGAUAGGGAUUGUUGUAUGAGAACAAGGCAGUGUUAUCAAAUUUUGGCCAUGGCGAUGCUAUGGCGGAAACCGGUAAUAGUUUCCCAACCUGCAGCCACAAUAAGGUACUGGCGAAGCAAAUUUUCUGUGGUGGUCUUGUGGCUGCUUAGCGUGCGGUGGUGGAAAAAGCAGGCUGGAGAUAGAAGAAGACAACUAAUUCCAUCAAUUUACCAAUUAACAACUAAUUCCUAAUUUGGUUCCUUCUAUCCUGCACCCAUUAUAUCCUAUCAAAUACACUGAUUUUCCUUUAUCUUUUUUGUUUAAGUAAAUGAAUACGAAGAUUCUAAAUAUAUUUUUCUUUUAAUUACUAUAAAGAUAUUAAAAAUAUUUUUAUACUAAUAAUCCUUUAUUUACCACAAGUUACGACAUCAAAUUUAUUCAGUUUAUUUAUGCAUGACUUAUUGAAUGCAUUAUGAUCGCUUGAAUUCUCAGUAUGGAAGAAGUACCAAGAUUGUGGUGCGAAUUCCAUCAAGAUUUGGUAUUUAGUGUUGUACUUCCAUUUACCACUGUUGUGUGAUAUGCUGGCUGAGACUGAACUUAUAUUUAGAAUAACUUUUUAAACUGAAGGAUACUAGUUGAAGUGUUAUAAUUUUUGUUUCAUGCAAACAUUACUAUGGAAAUAGCACAUUUACCUAACAGUGUCUAAUUUCUUUUUUUUAAGAUUUUGAUUCAAGGAAUGCCUCGAACUGCUAAUUUUGAAGAUGUAGUGCGAACCCUGUCUGGUUGUGAAUAUGAUUCCAACUCCAUCAACUUGUUUUUGAGGUAAACAUCAAAUACACUUCAAAUUUUAUAUUUUGUUUUAGAGUUAAACCUGUUUUUAGUCAUUAUAAAUAGGGCAGUUUUUAGUUUGGUUAAGAAUGUGUGUCUAAACUUCUUCAUACGUAUAGGAGAAGAUAAAAUUAAUAUAAGUGAGAAAACUUCUACUAAUUACUACUUUACGCUUUAGUUAAAAAUCUUAUUUUUGAGAAACUAACGAGAGAACCCUAAAUGCAUAAAUCAAUUUUAGUUUAUGGAGACGUUUAGUGCAUUUCUUAUUUUCUUCUCUACAAUUGCUUUUAGUCACCUUAAUGGAAAUGUAUCAUGUGUGAUCCCCAUUUUCAAAGGAGACCCAAAAGAGAAAAACUUCUGUGGUGGACAAGGAUCACACUUGACACAUUUUUCGUAAGCUAAUGGAUCAGAUGCGGUCGUUUUAGUUUUAGGGUCUCAAGGUGAACAGUUCUGCAUUGAUAAGGACUAAAUUAGUGUUUAAACCCUCUCAUGUAUUCUUAGAAAGAAAUGGUUGGAAUACACUAUUAACAUUCUGAAAACACACUCAUUUAUUGAAAUUUACUGAAAAUCACAAAUGUUGGCAGGUCUCACUUUAUCUAAGGAUCUCUCUCAAUUUUGUACUUUAAUAAAUUCUAUCUUUGUUCCCAACCCUCCUCUCCUCCGGAACCACAUUCUCGGGAACAUUAUUCCCGAAAAAUCCUAGUAGUUUAUAAAAGAAAUAGAGUUUAUUUAAUUGAACAAAAAGGGAUGAAGUGAGGAGGUAGGUAAUUGUUGUAGAAAGUAACUUCUAUUUUAAUGGGAAUACAAAAUACUUAGGUAAUGGAAUAAGGAGUAACACAAAAGUGUAAUUUAUAUUCCUUUGCAAGAACCAUUCCUGAGAAUGUGUUUACAAAACUGUCUCAAACAUGAGAAUAUCAUAUUCUCAAGUUCACUUUCUCGAUGCCUUGAAACAAACGGCUGCUUGGAUUAUAUUCUCAAAAUGGUAAUUAUUUUCUUACUUUCAGGCGAGGAGAAGAGUGGGCUGCAGAACCUAUUAAAUUGGCCACAGUGCGUUUCCAUUCAAGGACUCAAGCAAUGAAUGCAUUCAUCGCAAAAAAUGGAACCUUUUGCCAAAACAGUCGCAUUUCGGUACAAGUUUUGCAGUAAUUUAUGCCCCUUACUGGUGCUAGUAUUAUAUUACUACUACUUUAACAGAGGCUAGAGUAUUUAACUAGUUUUACUGGUGCUAGUAUUAUAUUACUAUUACUUUAACAGAGCCUAGAGUAUUUAACUAGUUUUUUUCAUUUCAUGGUCAUUUGGGAUUUUCAUAAUGUCUCUGGUUUAAGGUGAUGCAAGGAAAUGUUAAAAGUGUGGUAAAAUGUCUACCUUGCGUAGUAACACUUGACAUUAGUUGAUUGGUUAGUGAAGAGGUUGGUUCUUCUUUAUAUUGAAAUGUGUUUUUAUGUACCCAAUUAUUCAACGUUUUCCAAUGACAUGAAAUCGUGGUGUUGAUUCUAUGAGAAUUUGACUUUUCAAAUUCUAUAUAUCAGUGUGUCUUGGUAUUUGCAUGCUGAUAUAAAACUAGCAACUUUCCAGUUAUUAAUUAUACGUAAGUUUGCGUAGGCUAGUUCUUUGAAAAAAUAUGUGUGGAUAUUUUGUUAGAAAGUUAUGUAAAUAUGUUAGCAAACACAUAAAUGUGCAGCAGAAAUUAUUGCCAGUCAUGAAUUUGGUUAAGAAUGUGAUGAAGUUUCCAGAGAGGAAGAGUUAAAUUCAAAAAGGAAUAUUGAAGAAACAACUUAUUUCCAGAAAGAAAUAUUAGACACCCGUAAAAGAAUUAUUUUCACAUUUAUAACCUACUAAGAAUAAUAUAUUAACUUGAGCUAAAAUUAUGGCAAGUAUUGUGGGAUGACUCCUCUAAGGUGAAAAAGACACACUUAGGUUAAAGUACAGUAACGAUGGUAAAUUGCAAAUGAUUUUGAAGUUGCCAAUUUUUUGCUUCUAACUGCUGAUAAAUUUGGUCUCUAUUAUAAACGGUUGACUUUUGACUUUCUUUGAUCAGUUUUGUCUCAAUUUUAGUUUAGUUAGUUAAAGUUAGAAUUGAUUGACUCUUUAUCUGCACGUUACUUUCAUCUUAAAUUGAAGAGUUUAAGUUUUGAAAUUAUUUGAUUUAUCAAAAAAACUCCACAAAAAUACCAAUACUAAGUCAAAACUUCAAAAUAACGUAAUAUUUGCUAGAAAAUUUCAAGAGCUGUUUUUAUCAUAUAUUUAAACAAUUAAUUUUAAUUUGAUCAUUUUAUCUUUAAAUAACAUGAUUUUAGAAAACUUAUCAUGCUUACAUCAUGUGCAUAAUUGAUAAUCUCAUCAUGCAGUCAUGCAGUUGAAAAAGCAGGUCUAAUUGUAGUUACAUGUACAGUGAUAAAUGACCAAAUCUUAUUCUCAUUCAUUUGGUUCUAUUGAUGGACAUUUCAUUUCCUUAAAAGAGUUUAACAAUAUUUAUCCAUAGUUUUAUUCAUACUUUAGAUUUUACUCUUUCAUUACAUAAUUUGGUUUCACUACAUUCUAAAUAAUGACGUCCUAACAUUGUGCUAAAUCAUAGGACUUUUUGAGAAAUUUAUUGCAUGUAAUGUUAAUAAUCAAACCAUUAGAGCAAAAGUUCAACAUCUUGAUAUUUUAAUUGAGCACAUAAAUAUAAUGUUUAAUAUAUUUGUUGGUUUCUAGUCAGUUUUAUUUAAAAUAGUCUUCGAUUUUUGAUAUAAUGUCUCCGUGAAUUAUGAGUGAAUGAAUGAAAUGUAACUUUUUCACGUAUGUAACAACUUAAACCAAGGUUGAUGUGGAUAUGUGGAAUUUUAAAGUGGUUUCUAUGAUGAGGGCAUUUGACUUUGUUGUUGAAGUGGAGGUGCAGAAGUUAGAUCACAUAGGUAGAAAAUGAAAGUCUUAUUAAAUGCACUUGUGUUAAACGUACUAAAAGUUACAAACAUUGUUGUUCCAAAAGUAUAUAUUAAAAAAAUAUCUCACUAAAUAGGAAAAGUCUUACAUAGACUAAAAACGAAGUUUUCAUCCAACAAUGAAACACUUAUGAAUUGUUAGGUAUCUCUAAUAUAAUGCUUAAACAAUCAAAUACUGCUUAGAAGUGAAAUUAUGAAAUGCUUAUAGUUGCUCUAAACACAUAUUAAAUGACAAAACUGAUAAGAUAAGAAAAGGAACAUAUCUACUUACAUCCAUAUCUACUCAUAUUUAGAUACAUCCAUAUCUAUUCUACUAUAUAGAGAUUAUCUAUGUGAAAUAUCUACAUUCAAAUUAGAAUUAGAAGUAGACAUUAGAAACAAAUAAAACAUUCACAUAAUGUUGUCUCUAUCAAAAGUUUUUACAACCUACUUAUAUGUUCUGACAAUUUAGUUAACUUUAGGAGAGAUAUAAACUUUUAAGAAUUACAUAAAUUUGAAUUAAAUAUAGAAAGUUUAUUUGUGCAUAUAUAUAUAUAUAUAUAUAUAUAUAUAUAUAUAUAUAUAUAUAUAUAUAUAUAUAUUGAAUAAAUGUUUGUUGUUUGAAAUCUUAGACUUGUAAUCAUUACUAAAAAAUGUCCACUUGCUUCGAAUUUCCCAACAGAUUAUGUUAUUAUCCUAAUCGCACUCUUCGUUUAUUCUAGUUAUGCAGCUUAGUUUGCAGAUACAAUAACAAAGCACUUGAAAACAAGAAAUUGAAUAUGAAAAAACAAACCCUGCUUCAAAGUAGUACAUAAUAAUGCUAUAGCUUGAAAACCUAUAUAGGGUUACUAGGCUUGAGUGGGUGGAAGGUCUUUGUCUAGGGCUUCUGCGGAGAAAUCUCCAGGCUGUGGAACUUGCUCAUGAGGCAUUCCUUUUGGUUUGCUUCCUUCUUUCUCAUUCAUCUCUUCGUUCCUUCUCACAACUCUUUCUGUUUCUGUUUCUGUUUCUGGGUCAUCAUCAUCAACUACACCUUUCACCUCUUUACCACCGCAUGCCAAUGGCUUUGCCGGCUUCUCCGUCUUCUUCUUCAUUUUCAUCGAUGUUGCAGAAACACCCAAAAGAGAAAACUGUUUUAUUACUCUCUUAUCACUCGGCUGUUGCUUACGUCAACUCAACCGAUUAAGGCUUUGCAUACACGUGGCUACCACCAUGAACUCAGUUACGAACGUCCUUACACCUGGAUAUAUAAUGCUAAAAUACAUGUUAAUUUCUUGUCCUGCGG